GGGGCGGGCACCCGGAGGCGGCCCAGGCGGGGGUCUCCCCCGGGGCCUGGGGCGGGCCGAAGAUGUCCAGGCCUGGCCGGAGCCGCCUCCUGAUUGACGAGGCCCGCAUGGGAGUGCGGACGUGCAGCACAGAUUUGCGGGUCUCCUGGGCCUCUUGGGCGGUGAUCAGCGCGGACCUUGGGCCAACCGGGGAAGCAGGCCGGAGCACUACCCCCCACCCCCAUUUUAGAACAUCCUUCUGAGGGCUUCGCUGACCUCGGCUUGAACUCCUUCAGAGCCGGAGAGAUCACUCCUUCCACCACCGAGGGAGAGGAGGCAAAAUGAAUUUGCCAGCUUUGAAUUCAUUCUCAAGGCUCCGCUAGUCUCACAGCCAGUGAACUCAGUCUGGAAUUCCUGAAAGCUCAGAAAACUGCUGCUUAGGUGGCAGCUGAGCAUCCCUGGAGAGGGUGGGUGGUAUGAAAGCACUUCCAGACCUCUAGGGACACCAGGGAGUCAUGGUCCCAGCACAUUGCUGUGUGAUUGAGCCCCUCCUCAGCCUGUGGGUGGCCUAAGUUCACAGGGAGGUAAUGGGGUAGAUUGGAUACCUCUGGGGUCUUGGAAGAAGCUAUGACUUAUUUACUGUCUACUAUGUGCUAUUUGUGUACACGGCUUAUCUCCCUGCCAGACUGAGAGGCAACGUGGGCCUGUUGAAAGAGCGUGGACUUUGGAGCCGCAUGACCUGGCCCUCAAUCCCAACCCUGCGACUCAGAGCUGUGAGCCCUCGGGGAGCUCACAACACCUUUGGGAGCCUCAGUUUCCUUAUCUGUAAAGUGGGGAUGGUGAUAACUACUUCCAAUGUGGUUUUGAGCAACUGGUA
rnacentral:lncRNA from 1 species